ACAGCAGCCGCCGCGGGAAUACGUAGGGGGCAAGCGUUAUCCGGAAUAACUGGGCGUAAAGGGUGCGCAGGUGGUUUAACAAGUUAGUGGUGAAAGGCAUAGGCUCAACCAAUGUAAGCCAUUAAAACUGUUUAACUUGAGUGCAGGAGAGGAAAGUGGAAUUCCUAGUGUAGCGGUGAAAUGCGUAGAUAUUAGGAGGAAUACCAGUGGCGAAGGCGACUUUCUGGACUGCAACUGACACUGAGGCACGAAAGCGUGGGGAGCAAACAGGAUUAGAUACCCCGGUAGUCCCUGUCUCUUAUACA
rnacentral:rRNA from 1 species